UAGCCUCUCCUAGGCUUUGUCUGUGAAUUUGGCCGAGACAUAGCCUGAUUGAGGCUAAC
rnacentral:pre_miRNA from 1 species